rnacentral:rRNA from 1 species
GAUGAACGCUAGCGGGAGGCUUAACACAUGCAAGUCGAGGGGCAUCACGAGGUAGCAAUACUUUGGUGGCGACCGGCGCACGGGUGAGUAACACGUAUGCAACCUACCCUGUACAGGGGGAUAACCCGGAGAAAUUCGGACUAAUAUUCCAUAAUGAUAUUUUAGGGCAUCCUUUAAUAUUUAAAGCUUUGGCGGUACAGGAUGGGCAUGCGCAACAUUAGCUAGUUGGGAGGGUAACGGCCUACCAAGGCUAUGAUGUUUAGGGGACCUGAGAGGGUGAUCCCCCAACUGGUACUGAGACACGGACCAGACUCCUACGGGAGGCAGCAGUGAGGAAUAUUGGUCAAUGGGCGGAAGCCUGAACCAGCCAUCCGCGUGCAGGAAGACAGCCCUAUGGGUUGUAAACUGCUUUUCCAGUGGGCGAACCCUCGUACGUGUACGGGAUUGACGGUACACUGGGAAUAAGCAUCGGCUAACUCCGUGCCAGCAGCCGCGGUAAAAAGUGU